rnacentral:rRNA from 1 species
UACAGAGGGUGCGAGCGUUAAUCGGAAUUACUGGGCGUAAAGCGUGCGUAGACGGUUCUGUAAGUCAGACGUGAAAUCCCUCGGCUUAACCGGGGAACUGCGUCUGAUACUGGAUGGCUUGAGAUUGGGAGAGGGAUGCGGAAUUCCAGGUGUAGCGGUGAAAUGCGUAGAUAUCUGGAGGAACACCGGUGGCGAAGGCGGCAUCCUGGACCAACACUGACGCUGAGGAGCGAAAGCCAGGGGAGCAAACGGG